CCUACGGGAGGCAGCAGUGAGGAAUAUUGGUCAAUGGACGCGAGCCUGAACCAGCCAAGUAGCGUGCAGGAUGACUGCCCUACGGGUUGUAAACUUCUUUUGUAAAAGAAUAAAGUGAGGCACGUGUGCCUUUUUGUAUGUACUUUAUGAAUAAGGAUCGGCUAACUCCGUGCCAGCAGCCGCGGUAAUACGGAGGAUCCGAGCGUUAUCCGGAUUUAUUGGGUUUAAAGGGAGCGUAGAUGGGUUGUUAAGUCAGUUGUGAAAGUUUGGGGCUCAACCGUAAAAUUGCAUUUGAUACUGGCAGUCUUGAGCACAGUUGAGGUAGGCGGAAUGCGUGGUGUAGCGGUGAAAUGCUUAGAGAUCACGAAGAACUCCGAUUGCGAAGGCAGCUUACUAAGCUGCCACUGACAUUGAUGCACGAAAGUGUGGGUAGCAAACAGGAUUAGAUACCCGAGUAGUC
rnacentral:rRNA from 1 species